rnacentral:rRNA from 1 species
UACGGAGGGGGCUAGCGUUGUUCGGAAUUACUGGGCGUAAAGCGCGCGUAGGCGGACCUGCAAGUCGGGGGGUGAAAGCCCGAGGCUCAACCUCGGAACUGCCUUCGAUACUGCGGGUCUCGAGUCCGGGAGAGGUGAGUGGAAUUCCUAGUGUAGAGGUGAAAUUCGUAGAUAUUAGGAAGAACACCAGUGGCGAAGGCGGCUACACCGUGGUGCUUCGGG